rnacentral:lncRNA from 1 species
UCAUUGUCUUGAAGCAUGUGCAUACAACUAGAAAAAGAAUACAAUCCAUAUUAUUAAAUAUUCUCCUUCUAGCAUGUUGUGGCUAAUUUAUACCUUGCACCUAUUCAAAAAUUUUGUAGUCUACUUGAGGAUGCAGUCGAUGUUGACCAUCAUUGGAGUUGUUUCUAGUUAAUUCAUCACCAAAAUUGUAGUAGCUCUCUUCUUUUUUAGAUUUGGUGUCAAAGAAUUCUUCAUGUCUAAGCAAAUCUACAACACAUUCCAUAUUAAAACUUGCACACAUUCUACUA